GUGGGGAAUAUUGGACAAUGGGGGGAACCCUGAUCCAGCCAUGCCGCGUGUGUGAAGAAGGCCUUUUGGUUGUAAAGCACUUUAAGCGAGGAGGAGGCUACCGAGAUUAAUACUCUUGGAUAGUGGACGUUACUCGCAGAAUAAGCACCGGCUAACUCUGUGCCAGCAGCCGCGGUAAUACAGAGGGUGCAAGCGUUAAUCGGAUUUACUGGGCGUAAAGCGCGCGUAGGUGGCCAAUUAAGUCAAAUGUGAAAUCCCCGAGCUUAACUUGGGAAUUGCAUUCGAUACUGGUUGGCUAGGGUAUGGGAGAGGAUGGUAGAAUUCCUGGUGUAGCGGUGAAAUGCGUAGAGAUCUGGAGGAAUACCGAUGGCGAAGGCAGCCAUCUGGCCUAAUACUGACACUGAGGUGCGAAAGCAUGGGGAGCAAACAGGAUUAGAAACCCCAGUAGUCC
rnacentral:rRNA from 1 species